GGCUCCUUGGUCAGGGGGUAUGAUUCUUGCUUAGGAUGCGAGAGCUCCUGAGUUCAACUCCCGGAAGAGCCC